rnacentral:pre_miRNA from 1 species
GAGUGAAGAGCAUAUCACGUAGCCAAAGAUGAUUUGCCUGCAACCCAGGAUAAAAGGGCUUAUCUCUCUCUCUGUCUCUUAUUUCUGAUCUAGCUAAUUAGAUAAGCCCUUGAAAAUGGUCUAGGCAAGUCAUUCUUGGCUAUCAAAUAAGAUUCUUCUUA